rnacentral:rRNA from 1 species
GACGAACCGUGCGAACGUUAUUCGGAAUCACUGGGCUUAAAGCGCGUGUAGGCGGCUACGCAGGUCCGUUGUGAAAACUGGAGGCUCAACCUCCAGACGUCGACGGAAACCGUGUGGCUAGAGUCCGGAAGAGGAGAGUGGAAUUCCUGGUGUAGCGGUGAAAUGCGCAGAUAUCAGGAGGAACACCAAUGGCGAAGGCAGCUCGCUGGAACGGUACUGACGCUGAGGCGCGAAAGCUAGGGGAGCGAACAGG